UUCGGUUUGAAGUUCUUUAUGACUGAGUGGCGGACGGGUGAGUAACGCGUGGGUAACCUGCCUUGUACUGGGGGAUAGCAGCUGGAAACGACUGCUAAUACCGCAUGAUGUGGAGGGGAGACAUCUCCCUUUCACCAAAGGAGCAAUCCGCUGUAAGAUGGCCUCGCGUCUGAUUAGCUAGUUGGUGAGGUAACGGCCCACCAAGGCGACGAUCAGUAGCCGGACUGAGAGGUUGAACGGCCACAUUGGGACUGAGAUACGGCCCAGACUCC
rnacentral:rRNA from 1 species